UACGACCAAAAAUGAGAUUGA
rnacentral:piRNA from 1 species